AGUGGGAUAACUGGGUCAAAUGGUGAACCCAUUCCAAGUUUUCUAAGGCAUCUCCAUACUGCUUUCCAGAGUUGUUGUACCAAUCUGCAGCCUCACUAGCAAU
rnacentral:pre_miRNA from 1 species